UGUUUAAAAAGAAUGAAAAUAUCUUUAAAAUAUUAUUACGAGAAUCGACAACAAUAUAGAAUAUUAUAACGAACGUAAAUCGCGGCACAGAAACGACGAUAUCGGUUGUCAUUGAUAUUCAAAAUAUUGAUUAUACGCAGUCGUUCGCCGUACACCGAGCCGAACGGACGUGUUUCUCUCUACGCCGCCACUAUGGCUAUUCGCCCCCGUUCCGGACUUCAUUAACGUUUAUUCCACGACGAGGAGGAGGAAUAUUCAACAAGAGGAAGAAGAGGGAGAGAGAGGAGAGAAGGCGCGGAUUUAACGAUGGAAUAAUUUUUCGAUAUCGGCCAACCCUCGCUCCCUCGAAAGAAUUCUCCAUCACUGUCGGGGGAAAGAAGGUUGACACGAGUCUUGGCCGUUAGUGAAAGCGAAAUGGCGGAGCUAAUGCCGGCUGCUCGAGGGAUCCAAGGAGUAAUUAAAGUCGCAGAAGUGGCUGCCGGAAAUUCGCCAACUUAUAUUUGCGGAACGUGCCUCGGGGGUGAAAGACGCACCACCCUUUCGUUCUACGUGACACCGUACCACGUGGCAGCACGAUGUUUCUUCCACACUUAUUGUACAUAGCUUGAAAUAAUAAAUAGUUAGAAAUUGUCGUAAA